CAAUGUGCUAGAAAUAAACACAUUUAGCCAAAUAAUAUUUAUUGUAAAAUCGUUAUGCAUCCACUGACGCAUCUAGAACGUUACGCGGCGAUUUGAAUUUAUAAAUUGAUUCUCAUAAUUAAUCCAGCCACAUGGACAACCUAACCGCAACGAUGUGCUAAAUGCAGAUGACUAACGUGCCGGCUUCCCAAGAUCCCAGCAUCACGGAUAAAUGUCAGUAAUGAUAGAUAUACAAACUUGGCAGCUAGUACAGCAAUUAACA
rnacentral:sRNA from 1 species